CUCGCGGCCCUGCAGCCUCGUCAGGCUCAGUCCCCUCCCGAUAAACCCCUAAAUAGGGACUUUCCCGGGGGGUGACCCUGGCUUUUUUGGCGAAAACCCCCAGUUUAAGG
ensembl:miRNA MIR484 microRNA 484